CGUCCGUGUAACCAUAAGUUUUUACAUCUAAUUUUAAUCGACUGUCUUAUUUAAAAUAUUUUUAUAAUUAGUACUUUAUACUUAAUUUAUAUUUUUAAUUUUUUUUAAAAAAUUCAAAUAAGACGGAAUCAAAGUUGUUUACGGAAAAUCAUGUCUGCACUUAAA
rnacentral:pre_miRNA from 1 species